rnacentral:rRNA from 1 species
UACGAAGGGGGCUAGCGUUGUUCGGAAUUACUGGGCGUAAAGCGCACGUAGGCGGACAUUUAAGUCAGGGGUGAAAUCCCAGAGCUCAACUCUGGAACUGCCUUUGAUACUGGGUGUCUUGAGUAUGGAAGAGGUGAGUGGAAUUCCGAGUGUAGAGGUGAAAUUCGUAGAUAUUCGGAGGAACACCAGUGGCGAAGGCGGCUCACUGGUCCAUUACUGACGCUGAGGAGCGAAAGCGUGGGGAGCGAACAGG